rnacentral:rRNA from 1 species
ACGGGUGAGUAACACGUGGGUAAUCUGCCUAGGAGUCCGGAAUAACCUUCCGAAAGGAGGGCUAAUGCUGGAUAAGACCACGGGGACUUCGGUCCCUGAGGUAAAAAGGUGGCCUCUGUAUACAAGCUACCACUUCUAGAGGAGCCCGCGGCCCAUCAGCUAGUUGGCGGGGUAAUGGCCCACCAAGGCUACGACGGGUAGCUGGUCUGAGAGGACGAUCAGCCACACUGGAACUGAGACACGGUCCAGACUCCUACGGGAGGCAGCAGUGGGGAAUUUUGCGCAAUGGGCGAAAGCCUGACGCAGCAACGCCGCGUGAGUGAUGAAGGUCUUCGGAUCGUAAAGCUCUUUCGGCCGGGACGAAAACGGGUUGGCCAAUAUCCAACUCCUUGACGGUACCGGAAGAAGAAGCACCGGCUAACUCUGUGCCAGCAGCCGCGGUAAUACAGAGGGUGCGAGCGUUGUUCGGAAUUAUUGGGCGUAAAGCGCGUGUAGGCGGCGCUGCAUGUCGGGUGUGAAAGCCCUCGGCUUAACCGGGGAAGUGCGCCCGAAACUGCAGUGCUCGAGUGCCGGAGAGGGUAGCGG